CAGUAGCCACGGGAAUACGGAGGGUGCAAGCGUUAUCCGGAUUUAUUGGGUUUAAAGGGUCCGUAGGCGGAUCUGUAAGUCAGUGGUGAAAUCUCACAGCUUAACUGUGAAACUGCCAUUGAUACUGCAGGUCUUGAGUAAAUUUGAAGUGGCUGGAAUAAGUAGUGUAGCGGUGAAAUGCAUAGAUAUUACUUAGAACACCAAUUGCGAAGGCAGGUCACUAAGAUUUAACUGACGCUGAUGGACGAAAGCGUGGGGAGCGAACAGGAUUAGAUACCCCUGUAGUCCCUGUCUCUUAUAC
rnacentral:rRNA from 1 species